CAGGGGGCGAGCAGGCAGCUGAAGGCGUGACCGAUCUGUCAAACUGACGGAAAGGUCACGCCUUUGGAAACAUCAGCUGUUUUAAGACGCGUCACACAACCAUCACAUGACACUCUGAGGAAGACUGCUGCCAGCACGUCGAAACAUGUUAGCAAGGUAACUAAAAAACCUGCGUCUGUAUAAAAGAACAUCUGAUCGGAAUUUAUCAAAAGAAAACAAUGAACCGAAUCCAAGAACAAGACCUACACGUGAAUUUUUGACCCAAAGCUCCAAAGACAAACAAAGAGAGCAGAGGAGGGAAGAGAGACGGUGUGUUCAGUAAAUAAAGAACUCAUCUGGGUCACAGUUCCACUCCUAAACCCGGUGCUGGUUUUUACAUUUACAUGAUCAUGCUGCCCUCUUUUUAAGUAUGAUUUCUCUCCGCCUCUACUGUCCACCUCCUCAUCAUCUCCACCUGGUCUCUGCAGAAUCAUCGGUUCCAUUCGUCAUCCAUCCGCUCCCAGCGAGUCAUCAGCCACCACCGCCACCAGUGUCAGGACUCUAUGGAGGGAUUUUCCUGCUGAUGGGCAGAUCAUCAUCCUACGAUCUCAAAAAUCUCAAACCCAAAGACUUUCUGUCAGCA